UAGAUAGUAAAGGAAAGGGAUUGGAAACGCAUCACGUGCACCAAUGUUUUCAACAGAAGUUGGAUGGUACAAUCCUAUACUUACGAUUUUUAAUGUUAUUCAUUGUUAGUCAAAAGGUCAUUUGUUGUUUUUUGAGCUAUAUUUUUGGACUUCAAGAUCAUUCUUUCAGCGUUCAAGCCAAUCAAGAUGUGAAGCAAAAAGCUCGUAAGAAAAGGUGCAAGUCCUCCUCAACCGUUAACCAGAUCCCA